AAUUAGCAUGUUAAUAUAUAUUUCCAGUACUAUUUGGUUUAUCAUUGAUUCUGAAGAUUCUCAUAUGUAGCAACUGCUCAAAAAAUUCUAUUAAUUGUUCUCAUGUAUUCCUGAGCACAGUGAAGUCUUUUUGGAUUUUGAUCCAAGUUCUGUCUCAAAACUGAAUGAGAAAAAGAUAGUUGCACCAGGAAGCACUGCCAGCUCAUUGCUGUCCGAGCUCAGGUUGCGAUCGAUAAUUGAAAAUGCACGCCAGAUUAGUAAGAUAAUAGAAGAGUUUGGUUCCUUUGACACAUUUAUUUGGAACUUUGUGAACCACAAGCCAAUAGUCAGCCAGUUCAGGUAUCCGCGCCAAGUACCAGUCAAAUCUCCAAAAGCCGAAGCCAUAAGUAAAGAACUUGUAAGGAGAGGGUUCCGGAGUGUGGGUCCGACGGUCAUUUAUACAUUCAUGCAAGUAGCUGGACUAACAAAUGACCACCUAAUCAGUUGCUUCAGAUUCAAGGAGUGUGUCUUAAACUUGGAACCAGUCUGCAAAGAAAGCUCCUUCAACUCCAAGGUCAAGGAAAAAGCAAACGACGAAUCAACGGAGACAGGUCUAUUGCUAGCCGUGAACAAGUUGAGCUUCACCUGAAAUUAGAGUUCUAGAACUUUGAUCAAUGAUCAUAUUGUCAAAUGAGGUAGUUGUCAGGGAACAGGGUAGGUUGUGGAGUGUACAAAAUCCAUAGAGAUAUGAAGUUAGCCGAAAUGCAGAUGUAUUUGAAAAAUGCAAAAUGACCUUUGGCAAUUUCUUCAAGUUCUCUUGUAUUAAAGAUUCUUGAAAUAGUCAUAUUUUGCUCUUAGCC